rnacentral:rRNA from 1 species
UAGGGAAUUUUUCACAAUGGGCGAAAGCCUGAUGGAGCAAUACCGCGUGAAUGAUGAAGGUCUUCGGAUUGUAAAAUUCUUUUAUUAGGGACGAACGGCACUAAGAGGAAAUGCUUAGUGAUUGACUGUACCUAUUGAAUAAGUAACGGCAAACUAUGUGCCAGCAGCCGCGGUAAUACAUAGGUUACAAGCGUUAUCCGGAUUUACUGGGCGUAAAGCGAGCGCAGGCUGAUUAACAAGUCUAGUGUGAAAUGCAGUUGCUUAACAACUGUUUGCAUUGGAAACUGUUAGUCUGGAGUGUGAUAGGGAGUUCUGGAACUCCAUAUGGAGCGGUGGAAUGCGUAGAUAUAUGGAAGAACACCUGUGGCGAAAGCGAGAACUUAGGUCACAACUGACGCUUAGGCUCGAAAGUGUGGGGAGCAAAUAGG